rnacentral:rRNA from 1 species
GAUGAACGCUGGCGGCGUGCUUAAUACAUGCAAGUCGAGCGAACAGACGAGGCGCUUGCUCCUUUGACGUUUGCCGCGCGCGGGAGUGUAACGCGUGGAUCCCCUCCCUAUAAUUCUGAGAUCACUUCGGAAAACCGGCGAAUAUCCCGGAUGAUCUCCUGCUCCGUGUUGUUCAAUGGAGAAUGUCGGCUUUUGUGUCUGUUAUCGCUGCUUAUCAGCCUCUUUAGCUAGUUGGUAAGGUAACGGCUUACCACGGCAAGGAUGCGUAGCCGACGUGAUGGGGGGAUCGGCCGCACGAGAACUGGGACACGGUCCAGACGCCUACGGGAGGCAGCAGAAGGGAAUCGUCCGCAAUGGGCGAAAGCCUGACGGAGCAACGCCGAGUGAGUGAUGAAGGUGUUCGGAGCGGAAAGCUGUGUUAUUAGGUAAGAACAAAUGUGGAAGGAGCUAUGCACGUCUUGACGGUACCUAGUAAAAAAGCCACGGCUAACUACGUG